CGCACCGCCGUCGCCGGAAUCCCAAUCCUCACCAAAAUUUCCAGAUUUUCUUCUCUUCAUCCCCUCUUUCCAUUUCUCCAACCAAAAUCAAGAAAUUUGGCCAUCCAACCCUCCAAAAACCUUAGAACCCGAAGCUAAAUUGGGGCUUUUUGUGAUUUCUUCUUUCCAAGUUCAAAUCAAGAGGCUAGGCUAUGGGUUUGGCAAGGAUUUGUGGUGAAGAAGGCCAAUGAGGAGGAUUAGGCCAUGAGUUUUGAAGAAGAAAGGGUAAGGAAUGGGUUUUGGACAAACCCUAGAAUUUUUGGAAUUUAUUUGGUUGAUUUUGAUUUUGUUGAGAUAUUGUUGUUGUUGGAAAAAUUGUGAAAAUUAGAUAUUUGAAGAGAGUUUAAUUAGUAGGAUUUUAUUGGUCUAAUUUUCAAAGGAUUGGAAAUUGGUGUUGAAGAUUUUGGUGAUU